UAAUACGUAGGGUGCGAGCGUUAAUCGGAAUUACUGGGCGUAAAGCGUGCGCAGGCGGUCUUUUAAGACAGGUGUGAAAGCCCCGAGCUUAACUUGGGAAUUGCGCUUGUGACUGGAAGGCUCGGAGUGCGGAAGAGGGAGCUGGAAUUCCUGGUGUAGCAGUGAAAUGCGUAGAGAUCAGGAGGAACACCGAUGGCGAAGGCAGGCUCCUGGGCCAGCACUGACGCUCAUGCACGAAAGCGUGGGGAGCAAACAGGAUUAGAUACCCUGGUAGUCCACGCCCUAAACGAUGUCGACUAGUUGUUGGGGAAGGAGACUUCCUUAGUAACGAAGCUAACGCGCGAAGUCGACCGCCUGGGGAGUACGGCCGCAAGGUUA
rnacentral:rRNA from 1 species